rfam:Thalassospira sp. HJ NODE_1, whole genome shotgun sequence.
GGCGCGAUGGCGGAGUGGUUACGCAGAGGACUGCAAAUCCUUGCACGCCGGUUCGAUUCCGGCUCGCGCCU